AUUGAACGCUGGCGGCAUGCCUUACACAUGCAAGUCGAACGGUAACAGGUCUUCGGAUGCUGACGAGUGGCGAACGGGUGAGUAAUACAUCGGAACGUGCCUAGUAGUGGGGGAUAACUACUCGAAAGAGUGGCUAAUACCGCAUGAGAUCUACGGAUGAAAGCAGGGGAUCGCAAGACCUUGUGCUACUAGAGCGGCCGAUGGCAGAUUAGGUAGUUGGUGGGAUAAAAGCUUACCAAGCCGACGAUCUGUAGCUGGUCUGGGAGGACGAUCAGCCACACUUGGACUGAUACACGGCCCAGACUCCUACGGGAGGCAGCAGUGGGGAAUUUUGGACAAUGGGCGCAAGCCUGAUUCAGCAAUGCCGCGUGCAGGAUGAAGGCCUUCGGGUUGUAAACUGCUUUUGUACGGAACGAAAAGCCCUGGGUUAAUACCCUGGGGUCAUGACGGUACCGUAAGAAUAAGCACCGGCUAACUACGUGCCAGCAGCCGCAGUAAAAC
rnacentral:rRNA from 1 species